rnacentral:rRNA from 1 species
GGGGGCCGCCUUCGCCACCGGUAUUCCUUCAGAUCUCUACGCAUUUCACCGCUACACCUGAAAUUCUACCCCCCUCUACAGUACUCUAGUUUGACAGUUUCAAAUGACCUUCCGAGGUUGAGCCCCGGGCUUUCACAUCUGACUUAACAAACCACCUGCAUGCGCUUUACGCCCAGUAAUUCCGAUUAACGCUCGCACCCUCCGUAUUACCGCGGCUGCUGGCACGGAGUUAGCCGGUGCUUCUUCUGUCGCUAACGUCAAAUAAUAAGAGUAUUAAUCCUACUACCUUCCUCACGACUGAAAGUACUUUACAACCCGAAGGCCUUCUUCAUACACGCGGCAUGGCUGCAUCAGGCUUGCGCCCAUUGUGCAAUAUUCCCCACUGCUGCCUCCCGUAGGAGUCUGGGCCGUGUCUCAGUCCCAGUGUGGCUGAUCAUCCUCUCAGACCAGCUAGGGAUCGUCGCCUUGGUGAGCCAUUACCUCACCAACUAGCUAAUCCCACAUAGGCGUAUCCAGUAGCGCGAGGCCCGAAGGUCCCCCGCUUUGCUCCGAAGAGGUUAUGCGGUAUUAGCCAUCGUUUCCAAUGGUUAUCCCCCUCUACUGGGCAACUUCCUAUGCAUUACUCACCCGUCCGCCGCUCGUCAGCAGAUAGCAAGCUAUCUCUGUUACCGCUCGACUUGCAUGUGUUAGGCCUGCCGCCAGCGUUCAAUCUGAGCCAGGAUCAAACUCU